rnacentral:rRNA from 1 species
AUUGAACGCUGGCGGCAGGCCUAACACAUGCAAGUCGAGCGGAUGAGUGGAGCUUGCUCCAUGAUUCAGCGGCGGACGGGUGAGUAAUGCCUAGGAAUCUGCCUGGUAGUGGGGGACAACGUUUCGAAAGGAACGCUAAUACCGCAUACGUCCUACGGGAGAAAGUGGGGGAUCUUCGGGCCUCACGCUAUCAGAUGAGCCUAGGUCGGAUUAGCUAGUUGGUGAGGUAAAGGCUCACCAAGGCGACGAUCCGUAACUGGUCUGAGAGGAUGAUCAGUAACACUGGAACGGAGACACGGUCCAGACUCCUACGGGAGGCAGCAGUGGGGAAUAUUGGACAAUGGGCGAAAGCCUGAUCCAGCCAUGCCGCGUGUGUGAAGAAGGUCUUCGGAUUGUAAAGCACUUUAAGUUGGGAGGAAGGGCAGUAAGUUAAUACCUUGCUGUUUUGACGUUACCAACAGAAUAAGCACCGGCUAACUUCGUGCCAGCAGCCGCCGUAAGAC